AGGUAUUGGGACACACAAUUUUGGCUUCAAUACUCUGGACUAAUGCCAAGUCGGUUGAUUUGAGCAGCAAAGCUGCAAUAACAUCGUUUUACAUGUUCAUAUGGAAGGAUGCUGUCUCUGAUCUUAUCAAGGCUCAUGAAGUUUCUCCUGAUGAUGAAACAAUUGCAGAGGUCUUGAGGGAUGCUGAGGAAAGAUUACUGAAGGAGGGAGGUGCACC